rnacentral:misc_RNA from 1 species
AGUAGGCGUAUAGCGUAGUAAAAAAAAAACAGGAAAGUUCACAUGUUGAUUUAACAUUUUGUCUAUCUUUUUAACUUUUUGGUAAUUUACUUCUUUAUUUCAGUAAGUUGUAACAAAUCUUGUCAUAGAGUGUUGACCAGGAAAAAUGGUAAAUAAGAAACACGUAGAAGGUUACUAUUCGCUAAUGAAAGAACUAGACCAACUGGGAGAUGAUCAGUCAAUCUUUAUCCUGUUUACUGGAUCUAAGAGUAGCGAUGGUAAAAGUUGGUGCCCCGACUGUGUGUUAGCGGAACCUGUUAUUGAAGAAGCAUUGAAAUUUGCUGAUGAAGAGGUGGUUUUUAUUGUCUGUGAAGUGGGAAGUAGAGCCUACUGGAAAAACAUUCAAAAUGAUUUCCGUAUGGAUGAUAGGCUAAAGAUAAAGUGUGUGCCAACUUUGAUGAAGUGGAGAACACAAAAACGGUUAGAAGAAGCUCAGUGCCAGGAUUCUAACAUGUUGAAAAUGUUACUUGAAGACUGAUUUAAUGCAUUGUAAGAUAAGAAUACAAAAGAAUAAUAUUCAUAAAGUUUCCUAAUCCUAUUUAAUUUUGGUAAAAAGAGUGACAGUGAUUCAUGAAAAAAAAGGACUAUUUAUGCAUGUAGAAAAUUAUCUCUCCAAAUUUUAAUGGCAUGAAAUGCAGUUUGUCAAAAAAAAAGAUAGUGGCCUAGAGUGAUAUUGUAUAAAUAUAAAUAACCUACUUUUCUCCAUGUGUAUAUCGAAAAGUUCAAGGUACAGCACAAAUCAUUAAGGAAAUUUAUCUCAACUCAGAUUUAGAUAAUGUAAUUCUAGCAGGAUUAUGUGUAAGUGCAGAUUAUUUAAGCAUUCAAACAAGUUCAUUGUUGUAAAUUUAUGCAAUUAGACAUGUUUUUUAAGAGGCAGGCCUGCCAACUCUUACGAUUUAGGUGUAAUUGUUCUGAUUUUGUUUAUUUUACGCCUGUAUGAAUUGUUGUGUUAUUCUACAAUUUUAUGCGAAAUUCUGAAACUUUCUCACUGACCUUUUUUUUCUAAUAAUAAUUUUCCAGAAAUAAUUCACUACUCUCUGCUUUGCUUAUCAAUCUUACAAAUGCUUGAAAUAGUCUGUUAAAAAGGCAUGUAAGUAGUAAGCAUCUGGGUCACGCUGAUAAUUUUUUGAAAGGAAAAUGGUGGAAAAUUGUAGUUCUGCUUUGUCCCCAAUGAUUCCAAUGAAGAAAAGUUUAUAGUGAGCAGAAGUGUAGGCAUGGGUAUUCAAAAAAGUUUAAUGAUAUUGUAUCAUGCUCAAAGGGUAUGAAUUAUGCAAGAUUUACAGUUUGCAUUUGUGAUUUCUUCAUUUUUCAUGAAGAUGAAAAUUACAUCAAAAAUCAUCUUAACACUACUAAACACCAGCAAAAUAAAUCAAGGGCUUCUGGAAUUAAUAAACUAGACUCAUUUUUCAUAAAACAGAAUACCAAAUCAGAAAAUGAUGUGAUCAGAGUGGAAUGUUUAUUCACAGUUCCCGACCAUGCUUCAAAAAUGUUUACCAAAAUGUUUCUGGAUUUGGAAAUUGCUUAAAGAAACAGAUGCUCUAGAACCAAAACCUCUGCAAUAGUUGGAGAAAUAGCUAGCAUUGCAACUCAGUGAAUUGUGAAUAACAUUAAAACUUGUAAACUGUGACAUACUUUGAUGACCACAAGGAAAAGGUAUUACUUUCUAAUCCCAAUUUAAUUGGAAAACAAACUGGUGAGAGUAUUGCAGGAUUCCCACCAGAAGAAAUAGCUUCAAAGUCUUUAAAGUGGGAAAAUUGUGUAUCAUUAGCUGUUGACAACUCAGAUAUGAUGAUAGGGAGAAAAAAACUGAUGGAAAAGAAAAAAAAAGAUGAAGAAAAAACAAAAAAUCCAUGUGAAGGCAGAGUCUGUUCAAUGUAGAUCAGAGGUAUCAGUGAAGAAAGAGAGUGGUUGUUUAGAAAAAUGCAAAGAAAAAGCUUCUAAGCAGAGGUAGUCUGUCAAGGUGUAGGCAGGGAUCUGGAUCUUCUAUGGAUUGUUCCUCUAAGAAAGUAGCAGACAAAAUUGCAAAAGCAAGUGAGAAGGUACAAACACACCUGACAUCAAAUCUCCAGGAAACACUUAUUUGUGAGAGGAAAUAAUUUACAAGUUACUUACAAUAAGGAUGCAUUAUUUCUGAACAAUUACCUUCAAUUAUAUAUAGUCCGAAAACUCACUCAUCCAUUGCUUGCAGAGAAUCUUGUUGUGACACCACAUGCAAUUUCGAAUUUUUCAAAUAUUUUGGAUUUGAAUUUAAAAGAUAGAAAACUUCAGUUAAAAAAUGAGAACUUGGUAAUUGGUUAUGAAGUUUAGCCUUUCCUUUCAAAGCUUGACAAAGGAAGCCAGUUCUCUUUCACAGUGUAGGGCACAAAUGGCAGCAUGCAUACAGAUUUGGUGAUUGUUUCAAGUACAGGGGGCUAUUCCCGCAUGUCGCAGUAGAGAGAAACUUUCUUUGAUAGCCAUGGGAUAAAUCCAAAUUUUGCAGUCAGUGGGUAUAAAUGUUUAUUCAGAUAUAUCCAAACUUUGCAGCAAAAGGGUUAAAUAUGAUAAACUUUCUAAAGUAAUAAAGUCUAUCCUUAUAAUACCACACAGCAGUACAGUUUGUAAAUGGGUUAUCGUGUUUGUUUGCAAAAACUGGAGAGACUUUUGAGGAUCAGUGUCAAAACUCCACCUUAGAAUCAGUGCUGAUAAGGAAGAUGAAGAUGGCACAAAAACUAUGUUUAUCCCAAAAAUUUACUUUUGAUUUCCUAUAGAAAGCCAAGAGUGCUAUAUACAAGGCUCUUAAUUAGUAGUACACAGUAAUUAGUAAGUAUUAAAUAAAACCUAGUUAGUAAUAACACUAUUUUCAUUUACACAUUUUGUUACUUUUCCUUUGUCCCAGUAGGGAUUACUAUUUUUAAAAAUUUAAUGUUGGCACGUCUGAAAAAGUAUAGUGAUGUGCCUGACAAAUCAAAAUACAUUCCUCCUGAUUAAGAAAUGUAUUUUGUGAGUUGGAAGAUCACUUGUAGAUAGAUAAGUGAAACAAGUGACAAAACUGAAACUUCAUUAAUUCAAAUAGAAUAAAGGAAGAUCCUAAUACAGAUAUAAAUAGUAGUUUGUGUUGGAAUUAAAGGAAAAUCUUACCACCAGGAAAAUGUGUAAUUAUAUUGUAAACAUAGAAAACACAUAAACAGAUCUCAUCAGUAAAAAUAGAAUUGCUAUCUCCUACACUCAAAUUUUUACAACUGAAUUGAAUGAAAUUGUUUACUAUUUUCAACAUAUUAUCAGGAUUUUUGUGGGUGUUGGAAAGCCUGGGAAGUUCUGGAAAUUUGUGAAUUCAUUUUCUAAGCUUUGAAAUCCCAUGAAAUAUGAUAAUGCCUUCAUCAAAAUGGUUUUUAUCAGCAUAUACCACAUUUCUGUUUCAUUAAGAAUUUGAAAUCUUGUCUCUUUUGAGUCAUCAACUAUUAAAACUUGCCAGAACAGGAAUGUAUCUACUAUAAAAGUGUCCUUUGUUUUAAAUUGAAAUAUUGUAUUGUUAAAAAAUAAGUAACUUAUCAAAGGUACAAAGAUUAAUCAUUAAAAUAGCUGAAAUAUAUGUGAUACAUGAUUGUACCCAAUGGACAUCAUCCCAAAAAAUAGCAUCACCUAUCCAUGCAUAUAUAUGAAUAGCUAAUAAGUUAUUUAAAAAUGUAAUGUUUACAAACCAAUGUGUUGAGAGUGUUGUUACAUUUUAUGCAGAGAAUGUUGAUGCUUACAGUAUUGCAUACUAAUUGCAAAAGCUGUCAAGAAAUAGCUCUAUCAGCUAUGUUGUAUAUGCAAGUUUCAUACUUUAGUAAGAGAGAUAAUUCAAAUUUCAAGCAAAUAGAAAGUGUACUUCCUAUCAUAUGUAAUUCAACGUAGAUAAUGAGCUUGGAUUAAAUAACUUAAUGGUUAAA